rnacentral:sRNA from 1 species
UUAAACCCAAUAAGGCUGGAUCUUUCUAUUUUAAACCUUGACUUGACGUCCCCCUUUCCCUAUCCAAACCAUAAAUCGACUCUGUCGAGAAAAAGGCUCCUAACUGAGGAAGCGGAAAAGACAGACCCCGAUCCUGCAGUUAAAACCUUCUUUAAGCUGGACCGUCACGACGGCACCAGCAACGGGACGGCACGGUUGCCCCAGCUGGGCACUCCUGAACCCCCUGCACGCCCAGCCGCAGCCGCAGCACCCAGGCUGGCCCGGCCAGAGGCAGAGCCAGGAGUCUGGGCUUCUGCACACGCACCGGGGGCUGCCUCACCAGCUGUCGGGCCUGGAUCCUCGCAGGGACUACAGGCGGCACGAGGACCUCCUGCACGGCCCACACGCGCUCAGCUCAGGACUCGGAGACCUCUCGAUCCACUCCUUACCUCACGCCAUCGAGGAGGUCCCGCAUGUAGAAGACCCGGGUAUUAACAUCCCAGAUCAAACUGUAAUUAAGAAAGGCCCCGUGUCCCUGUCCAAGUCCAACAGCAAUGCCGUCUCCGCCAUCCCUAUUAACAAGGACAACCUCUUCGGCGGCGUAGUGAACCCCAACGAAGUCUUCUGUUCAGUUCCGGGUCGCCUCUCGCUCCUCAGCUCCACCUCGAAGUACAAGGUCACGGUGGCGGAAGUGCAGCGGCGGCUCUCACCACCCGAGUGUCUCAACGCGUCGCUGCUGGGCGGAGUGCUCCGAAGGGCGAAGUCUAAAAAUGGAGGAAGAUCUUUAAGAGAAAAACUGGACAAAAUAGGAUUAAAUCUGCCUGCAGGGAGACGUAAAGCUGCCAACGUUACCCUGCUCACAUCACUAGUAGAGGGAGAAGCUGUCCACCUGGCCAGGGACUUUGGGUACGUGUGCGAAACCGAAUUUCCUGCCAAAGCAGUAGCUGAAUUUCUCAACCGACAACAUUCCGAUCCCAAUGAGCAAGUGACAAGAAAAAACAUGCUCCUGGCUACAAAACAGAUAUGCAAAGAGUU